AAAAUUGGAAUGAUGGGCCAACGGGCCCAAUUCGGUAAGAACCCUCGGUACGUGAUUCUGUAGUACGUGAAAGGUAGGAAUAUGCAUGAAAAACCCUAAAAUAGAUAAAUUACUGAAAUACCUUUAAAAGUGGAAAGUUUACAGUUUUACCCCUAGGAGAUAAAUUACCGAAAUACCCCUAGGGUUAAAUUGACUUAAAUGCAUGUUUGACUGUUGUUAUUUAUUGCAUGCCAUGUUGUUAUCAUCUGAUGCAUGGGAUUGGGAUAUUGACGGAGGAAGUACUGAAAGUGGCUUGUCCACAUACUGGAGGCUUUGCCUCAAUUUAC
rnacentral:lncRNA from 1 species